CCUACGGGAGGCAGCAGUGAGGAAUAUUGGUCAAUGGACGAGAGUCUGAACCAGCCAAGUAGCGUGAAGGAUGACUGCCCUAUGGGUUGUAAACUUCUUUUAUAAAGGAAUAAAAGGAGGCACGGGUGCAUUUUUGCAUGUACCUUAUGAAUAAGCAUCGGCUAACUCCGUGCCAGCAGCCGCGGUAAUACGGAGGAUGCGAGCGUUAUCCGGAUUGAGUGGGUUUAAAGGGAGCGUAGCUGGGUGUUUAAGUCAGUGGUGAAAGUUUGCGGCUCAACCAUAAAAUUGCCAUUGAUACUGGCAGUCUUGCGUACAGUUGAGUUCGGCGGACUUCGUGGUGUAGCGG
rnacentral:rRNA from 1 species